ACGGCGGCAGCGGUGCCGGAUCCCCUCUGCCCGACCCGCGCGGCGCUCCGGGGAAGCCCGGCACGGUGGCGGCGGCGGCGGCCGCCCGUUACCUCCUGGGCCACGUGCACCGGCGGGAGCCCCGCGACGCUCAGCUGCUGCACGGCGCCGGCUUUGGGCGUCUGCGGCGCCGCCUGCACCACCGACCGCUGCGGGGGGACGGGGAUGGGGACGGGAAUGGGGACGGGAAUGGGGACGGGGACACGUCAGUGCCGGCACCGCCCUGCACCCAGGACCCGCGCCGGCCCAUGUGUCCGUGUGCCGCCGGCCCCGGCACGGCCCUGCUGCACUCGGCCUCUCUGCUUCCCUCCCUUCUGCUUCCCUCCCCUUCCUUCUCCUUGCUUUGAUGUUCCUUGCCUUGCUUUUCCUUUCUUUUCUCUCUUUUCCUUUCCUUUCUUUUUUCUUUCCUUUCCUUUCCCUUUCCUUCCUUUUCCUUUCCCUUUCUUUCCUUUCCCUUUCCUUCCUUUUCCUUUCCCUUUCCUUCCUUUUCCUUUCCUUUCUUUUCCUUUCCUUCCUUUUUCUUUCUUUUCUUCCUUUUCUCCCUUCUUCUCUCCUCCCUUUUCUUGCUUUUGCCUUUCCUUCCUUUUCCUUUCCCCCCUUUCCCUCUCCUCCCUUUCCCUUUGCCUUUUCCUGCCCUUUCCCCCCCCGCAGCUCCCGCCGCCCCCCGGCCCCUCCGGGGGCUCCCGCGGAGCAGGGGAGCAAAAUGCAUCCGCGCUGCCAUUAAUUCUCCCACGGAAACGCGGAAACGCGGCGGCGCGGGAGGAGGACCGGAGCGCUGCCGGAGCGCUGCCGGAGCGGCGGCACUCACCUCCUGCGCGACGGGCACCGGCUGGACGCCGUGGACCUGGAGCUGCGGCACGGGGCCCGGCUUGGCGGAGCCGCUGCUCUGCGCCGGCGAGCGCUGGGAGAGCGCCCGGACGGGCCGCGUCAGCGCCUGCUCCCGCAUUCCCGCUCCCGGCCCCGAAUUCCCGGCCCCAGCACCCUUUUCACACCCCCCCCCCCCUUCCGGCGACAUCCCGUACCGAAAACGCCGCUUCGGGCCCCGUUUCCGCGUGGCGGCGGCAGCUCCGAAGGAACCCCCAUCCCUAACGGAGCGAAGGGGCCGGCCCGGAGACGCUAAAGCCGGAGCAGAAGGGGAUCCUUCCCCCCCCGGCCGCUGUCCAAACCCCUUUGCCGGUUAUUUCCCCCCCCCAGUGCAAGAGGAGGCGGCUCUGGUCCUCGGCGCCGGCCACGGGGAGCGGGAAGAGCCACGGCGGAGCCACGCGGAUCCGCCGGGAAGGUGGAUGGUGCUGGGGGGGGGGGGGGUCGAGGCUGCGUCUGCCGGUGGCACCGUUUUCAGGGGAAUCCGGGCGCCGCUGUGGCUCCGUGGAGCCGGCACGGCAUGGAGCGGGAUGG
rnacentral:lncRNA from 1 species